CUGGAACUGUGUCCGCAAGGACACAACCCCAGAUACCCUUUGUGAACUUAUACCUAUUUAUCGUUGCCUCGGCGCUGAGCUGGAAGCACUCUUGUGCUUUCCCACUGAGCAAUCAGUGGAGCAGGCCCGCCGGUGGCCUAUUCAACUCUGUUUAUAUUUUGUAGUCUGAGUUAUUUUAAACAAAUGAAUCA
rnacentral:misc_RNA from 1 species